rnacentral:sRNA from 1 species
GGAAGUAAAAGUCGUAACAAGGUUUCCGUAGGUGAACCUGCGGAAGGAUCAUUCAUAAUUGAGUGUUUUAUGGCACUCUUUAAAAAAUCCAUAUCCACCUUGUGUGCAACGUUUUUAGACACCCUGGCGCUGAUAUCUCUUUUAAGAGAAGGAAAGCCAGGAUGUUUGAUUAACUUAACUCAACUCCUUUAAAACAGUUUGUCUGAAUACCUAUUUCUGAAUAACAUAAUUCAAAAAUACAACUUUCAACAACGGAUCUCUUGGCUCUCGCAUCGAUGAAGAACGCAGCGAAAUGCGAUACGUAAUGUGAAUUGCAGAAUUCAGUGAAUCAUCGAAUCUUUGAACGCACAUUGCGCUCUCUGGUAUUCCGGAGAGCAUGCUUGUUUGAGUAUCAGUAAACACCUCAAUUUCAAGAUUUUCUAUUUUGAAAUUGGACUUGAGCAUAUCCCAACGUGUAUUUAAUUACAUGGAGGGUUGCUUCAAAUGCAGGUGCAGCCGAUCAUUCUUCUGGGCUAAAAGCAUUAUCUAGUUAGUCCCGUAAAACGGAUUAUUCAUUUUAUUGCUGCAGCUUACCUUUAUAAAAGGAAGACAUGGUCAUUGUGCUGACUGAUGCAGGAUUUCUCAGAGGGUCUGCAAAGACUUUUUGAAAACUCGAUCUCAAAUCAAGUAAGACUACCCGCUGAACUUAAGCAUAUCAAUAAGCGGAGGAAAAGAAACUAACAAGGAUUCCCCUAGUAACGGCGAGUGAAGCGGGAUGAGCUCAAAUUUAAAAUCUGGCCGGUUUACUGGUCCGAAUUGUAGUUUAAAGAAGCGUUUUCGGUGGCAGCCUGGGUAUAAAUCCUUUGGAAUAGGGUAUCAUAGAGGGUGAGAAUCCCGUCUUUGACUCAGUGCAUGCUACUAUGUGAUACGUUUUCAAAGAGUC